rnacentral:misc_RNA from 1 species
GAUGGAAGAACGCAGCGAAAUGCGAUAAGUAAUGUGAAUUGCAGAAUUCAGUGAAUCAUCGAAUCUUUGAACGCACAUUGCGCCCGCCAGCACUCUGGCGGGCAUGCCUGUUCGAGCGUCAUUUCAACCCUCGAGCCCCCCCGGGGGCCUCGGUGUUGGGGGACGGCACACCAGCCGCCCCCGAAAUGCAGUGGCGACCCCGCCGCAGCCUCCCCUGCGUAGUAGCACACACCUCGCACCGGAGCGCGGAGGCGGUCACGCCGUAAAACGCCCAACUUUCUUAGAGUUGACCUCGGAUCAGGUAGGAAUACCCGCUGAACUUAAGCAUAUCAAUAAGCGGAGGA